GAUGAGCAUGCGUCCCAUUAGCUAGUUGGUAAGGUAACGGCUUACCAAGGCUACGAUGGGUAGGGGUCCUGAGAGGGAGAUCCCCCACACUGGUACUGAGACACGGACCAGACUCCUACGGGAGGCAGCAGUGAGGAAUAUUGGACAAUGGGCGCAAGCCUGAUCCAGCCAUGCCGCGUGCAGGAUGACGGUCCUAUGGAUUGUAAACUGCUUUUAUACGAGAAGAAACACUCCUUCGUGAAGGAGCUUGACGGUAUCGUAAGAAUAAGGAUCGGCUAACUCCGUGCCAGCAGCCGCGGUAAUACGGAGGAUCCAAGCGUUAUCCGGAAUCAUUGGGUUUAAAGGGUCCGUAGGCGGUUUAAUAAGUCAGUGGUGAAAGCCCAUCGCUCAACGGUGGAACGGCCAUUGAUACUGUUAGACUUGAAUUAUUAGGAAGUAACUAGAAUAUGUAGUGUAGCGGUGAAAUGCUUAGAGAUUACAUGGAAUACCAAUUGCGAAGGCAGGUUACUACUAAUUGAUU
rnacentral:rRNA from 1 species